UGCCAGCCGCCGCGGUAAUACGGAGGGGGCUAGCGUUAUUCGGAUUUACUGGGCGUAAAGCGCACGUAGGCGGCGUAUCUAGUCAGAGGUGAAAGCCCGGGGCUCAACCCCGGAAUUGCCUUUGAUACUGGUAUGCUUGAGUUCGGAAGAGGGUAGUGGAAUUCCAAGUGUAGAGGUGAAAUUCGUAGAUAUUUGGAAGAACACCGGUGGCGAAGGCGGCUACCUGGUCCGAUACUGACGCUGAGGUGCGAAAGCGUGGGGAGCGAACAGGAUUAGAUA
rnacentral:rRNA from 1 species